GUAGUCAUAUGCUUGUCUCAAAGAUUAAGCCAUGCAUGUCUAAGUAUAAGCAAUCUAUACGGUGAAACUGCGAAUGGCUCAUUAAAUCAGUUAUCGUUUAUUUGAUAGUACCUUACUACUUGGAUAACCGUGGUAAUCCUAGAGCUAAUACAUGCUAAAAAUCCCGACUUCGGAAGGGAUGUAUUUAUUAGAUUAAAAACCAAUGCCCUCUGGGCUCUCUGGUGAUUCAUAAUAACUUAACGAAUCGCAUGGCCUUGCGCCGGCGAUGGUUCAUUCAAAUUUCUGCCCUAUCAACUUUCGAUGGUAGGAUAGUGGCCUACCAUGGUAUCAACGGGUAACGGGGAAUUAGGGUUCUAUUCCGGAGAGGGAGCCUGAGAAACGGCUACCACAUCCAAGGAAGGCAGCAGGCGCGCAAAUUACCCAAUCCCGACACGGGGAGGUAGCGACAAUAAAUACUGAUACAGGGUUCUUUUGGAUCUUGUAAUUGGAAUGAGUACAAUGUAAAUACCUUAACGAGGAACAAUUGGAGGGCAAGUCUGGUGCCAGCAGCCGCGGUAAUUCCAGCUCCAAUAGCGUAUAUUAAAGUUGUUGCAGUUAAAAAGCUCGUAGUUGAACCUUGGGCCUGGCUGAUCUGUCCUCCUAAUCGAGCGCACGGAUUCGGCUGGGCCUUUCCUUCUGGGGAGCCCUAUGCCCUUCACUGGGCGUAGCGGGGAACCAGGACUUUUACUUUGAAAAAAUUAGAGUGUUCAAAGCAGGCCUUUGCUCGAAUACAUUAGCAUGGAAUAAUAGAAUAGGACAUCGGUUCUAUUUUGUUGGUUUCUAGGACCGCUGUAAUGAUUAAUAGGGAUAGUCGGGGGCGUCAGUAUUCAAUUGUCAGAGGUGAAAUUCUUGGAUUUAUUGAAGACUAACUACUGCGAAAGCAUUCGCCAAGGAUGUUUUCAUUAAUCAGUGAACGAAAGUUAGGGGGAUCGAAGACGAUCAGAUACCGU
rnacentral:rRNA from 1 species